rnacentral:lncRNA from 1 species
AAAGAUCAUAUCCGAAGCUCUCUCCUGCGCACAAGGUAGCAUUUGUUGCGUUAGUUCUGUUCAGAGAGAUAUUGAAGUUCUUGUUAUUAUUCCUUUCAGCAGUUUGUGAUCUUUGUUGCAUUAGACUUUAUAGUGUUGUAACUCAUAAUUACUUGGCAGGCUUUUGAUCCCCCAAUAGAUUUGAGUUAGGAUUUUGAUGGUUGUGAAGACUCAAAUCCUGAAUGUACUCCAAACGAGAAAUGCAUCAAGACACUGAAACUAUAUCCUUUUUUAUGUAGAAUCUUUAAUUUAUUUGUAUAACUGCAGGAGUGAACUAUGAUUGUGAUGGGAGCCACUUAAAUCACGGCCAUGGCAGUUUUAUGUCAAUUUAUAUACUUUAAAGCCUCAGUUCCUU